rnacentral:lncRNA from 1 species
AGAUGGUGUCGGGCGGUGGCGUCGUUCGUGGUACUUUACCACAUCUGUGGUGGUGGUGGCGGUAUACGGUGGUGGUUAUAGUCGUGUUAGCGAAUUUGCGAACUUGUUAAGCUUCUGUUAUUUGUGUCGAGCAGUGUUCGAACUGCUUAUUACUGUGGUCAUAGUAUUGUUCGGUUGUGUUGGUGAAACUUCGUCAGAUAAAAUUGCUAUUUUAUAUAUGCGUGAUAUUUGGAGUCAUUUUAUGUCUGCUGCUGCCUCUACAAGUAUAUUUGAUAAUGGUGUUUGUUUUGCAAGGUGGAUUUUUUUUCCGGUGCUAACUACUUAUGCUGAAACUUACCUGUGCUGAAAAUUUAUUAUCAAACUCAGACAGAUAGUUGCAGCAGCUGCUUUAUUUUUCCAGGCUGCAUCUGUUUUUCAACCCGGACUGCAAAUAGGGGCUUUUCAUACUUUGUUCAAAAGUACUCCGUAUCUGUUUUUCGAGUUUUACCUGAAGGAAUAAGUUGCCAUGUGCUCUUUGUCCGUCAAAGAUUUAUCCAAGGGGAUUGUUGAGAUCAUCCACCGGGAUGAUUUGAACACGGCCUCUUCUUCCUGCGGCAGCGGCCUCACACGUCUCACUGCCGCCGCCUUCGUCGAAGCUGUACCGUGGCCGUUGCCAAUGGCUUAGAGCUGACCAGGGACAGAGCCGGCGGAGGCCGGCCGCUGGGAGUGCUUUUCUUGUUGCUGCUGUUGCUAUUGGGGUGGAGCACGAGACUUCAAAAAUUACACUAUAUGCUACUAUAAUUUGAUCAAAACAUCAUCAAUAUAUCAACUAAUAGUCCCAAAAUAACUGUACAUAGUAAAAACUAUAACUUUCUUUGUAAAGUAACAUAGACUUAAGAUGAAGUAACAUCAGACUUUAGAUGUACAGAUGGAGUAUUUUGCAUUAUCGUAGUCGGCUAUGAACGAUGUAGCCGUUGCCUCCAUUGGUCUUGAUCCUACACGCAGUUUGGUAAUUGGACAACCUGAUGUCUGGCUGCGUCUCGCCCGUGUUCUUUAAUUGUAAAAUGCUGGUGGGAGCCGAAUGCUUUUGGGCGUAUGCACACCAUGUUCGGGGGAGUCGUGGGAUGGAAAUGGUUGAUGAUGCGUUAGUUGUCAUCACUCAUCAUCAUCAUCAUCAUCGUCACGGUGAUCGUCGCAAAGGUUACUGUGGCCAACGUCACAAUCAUCCCUCCCCAUGCCAUGACGAGCGCAAUGCCUUGCCUCGAUGGUGUUCUACGUGUCGUGGUCCGGACCGAAGCUCUGUGUUGUCACACCGUAUUGCCUAGAGGGUGUUCCGUGCAUUACGGUUCCACCCAAGUCGACCAUGUACUGGCCCGACGGGCACGAGGCUCCGAGUAGGUGUAGUUACACUCUUUGGCGUGUUGGUUUCCCAGAUGGGGAAGAAUGCCGGCUCCUCGUGCUCGUAGUGGAAUAUGCGCAGCCAUUGCUGAUUGCAACUUGCUUUUCUUAAGACAACACAAUCGUAUAUGCUCACAUACACUCCCUAUGAACGCACUUUGAUUGAAACUUGCUGGUGAAUCUCUUUUGCAUCAUUUAUACCGUCUUACAUUUUCCUUUGCGUCGGUUAUUUAUCUUUAGCAUGUAUUAUGCAUUAAGAGUUUUUUUUAACAUUAGUACAAACAUAAACGCUCAUAUACACGCGCAUACACUCCCCUGUGAACGCACACACGCACACACUACCUCUAUGUGCAUCUCCAAAAGACUGAGCCGUCAUAGUUGUCGACGGGAACGCCUCCUCCCACUGAAUGCGCAUCACGUGGAAGUCCUAAAAUAAAUCCAGAAAUAAAUGCGAGCACCAGGAUUUGAACCCUGGUAGGCAGGGAUACCACAGUCCAUUUAACCAUCCAACCACAUGUUGGUUCGCUAUUAUACAUUAAGAGUUAAUACCACUGUUAGUACAUAAACUUGUACCCGAGGAAACAAAAUGGUACAAGAACAUAAAACCCCCAUAAAAGUAGCCCUUUUUUUUUGAAACCUCCGCUCUCCGGAUUUUAUUCAUUCAGCGGUAGCAAAUCUGAGUGCACAGCGCAUCUCAGAAAUCCAGGGAUUACAUUAGAGUAGGUAGUAACAUUCUCUACCAAUAAAGCUUCCUUAGCACAAGUAUGAGCAACAGAAUUUACUAGACGGCUAGCAUAACGAAGCUGAAAUCCCUGAAAAAACGGCAUCUCCUCCUGCAUCUCUUGAAAGAUAUGGAACCCCUUCGAUUUACCUCUCAGCCUUCCUUCCCAGAGCUGAACAACAUUGAGGCAAUCUGUCUCGACUAUCACAUUCUGAUAGUUCUUCUCCCUCGUAAGCAAGGUAGCAUCUCUGCAGGCCAAAAUCUCCACAGUUAGGGGAUCAACCACCCCUUGGUAGCCAGUGCACCGCGACACUAGCAGGUUGCCUUCACUGUUACGGGCAACUACGCCUGUGCCACCUUUUGCGCUAGCCGUGUCGACUGCGCCGUCAACAUUCAGCUUGACAACCCCGGUCGUCGGCGCCUCCCAUCUCUGCUGCUCGUGAACAGCCGUAGUAUGUGUCGUGGGGGGAAGCUCCAGUGUCCUCACAAUUUCAAAAAUGACCUCCAUGGAUCGCUUGGGUUGAUAUCUUUCUUCAUGGUGAGUGAACCUGUUCCGGCUGCUCCAAAUAGCCCACAUCACCGUUAUGCCAAUCGCUGCAUCUUUCUUUGGUACCAACCUAGCAUCCAGCAAAUCAGUAGCCCAAGUGUGUGGAUGGAGUCGGGGCACCUUGACAGCAAAUACAGUUUCUGCCUCCACCCAAAACAGCUUGGCGUGAUCACAUGUUAUCAAACAGUGAUAGAGACUUUCAUCUCCGUUUCCGCGCAUCGGACAGGCUGCAUAAUCGCUCACAUGUCGUCGGUGCAGCUCCUGCAUACAUGGUAGCAUAUUUUUGACCACCCGCCACCAGAAGACCCGGAUCUUUGGCAGCACUUGUAGCUUCCAGAGCUCCUUCCACAUGCGAUCAGCCCCUUGAGAGCUGCCCUCCAUGGCCUGCAGAUUCUGUGUAUGAUCCAUUGCUUCUCGGUAGGCUGACCUUACACUGAAAACGCCAGAUUUCUCCCACGCCCACGCCCAAAUAUCCUCUCCACCCCGUCUAGGUCUCGGCAUAGCCAGUAUAGCUUCAACAUCUGGUGGCAGGAAUACUUGACGUACUAUCUCCUCGUCCCAUUUGCUAGUAUCCGAAUCCAAGAGAUCCCCGACCAACUGAACCGGCUCCUCAGUGAGCCUUCCUAGUGGGCGCAUAGAUCUUGUGCCCUCAAUCCAGUUGUCAUGCCAUAUCUCUGUUCUCGUUCCAUCGCCAAUACGUCGGAUGAUCCCUGUCUUCAGCAGCUCACGCCCACACAUGAUUGCCUUCCAAGUGCGAGAGGCACUUGCGGGGCAGUUCGCAGAGAGAAACUCACCAUCGGGGUAGUACCUCCCUUUCAGAACCCUCGCACACAAGCUGUCAGGAUAUUCCAACAGUCUCCAAGCCUGUUUGUCCAGCAUUGCAUCAUCAAAAACUUCCAAAUCCCUGAGUCCCAUACCUCCCUUGGCCUUUGGGAUUGCCAUUUUUUCCCAGGCUUGCCAGUGCAUUCCUCUUUUGUCAAGUGAUCCAGCCCACCAAUAUUUAGACAUAGUCUUCAUAAGUUUCUUGCAAAGACCUUUUGUGAGUUUGAAACAACUCAUAGAGUAGGUCGGUAGAGCUUGUACCACUGAUUUCAAGAGAACUUCUCUUGCUGCACACGUUGCCAAACGUUCACACCACCCUUGUACCUUCCCUCUAGCUCUCUCAUUGAGAUGCUCAAACUGUUGCUCUGUCAAUCUGCCCACAGCCGUAGGGAGGCCAAGAUAUUUCUCUGUGAAUGCUUCCCGGUGGAUGUUCAGUGUGUUCUUCACUCCUCUUUUAUUAGAAGCACCACAAUUCGGACUAAAGAAGACCGAACUUUUAGCCAAGUUGGCACUCUGGCCAGAGCCACUAAAGUAGUCUUGAAGGAUGGAGUUUAAUCUCAUAGCACUCCUGUGGUCUGACUUCAUAAAAAUCAAGCAACCAUCAGCAAACAACAAGUGGGAAAUACAAGGAGCUCUUGUACUGACCUGAAUUCCUCUGUCAAUCCAGCCCCCAUCAUAGUUUUUUAGCAUACAAGAUAAUCCUUCCCCACAAAGCAGGAACAAGUACGGGGAGAUUGUGUCCCCCUGCCUUAAACCUCUCGUAGGCCUGAAUGAGGGUAAUAACUCCCCAUUGACCUUUAUCUGAAAGCUCACUGUUGAUACACAUCGCAUAACCAACGAUAUCCAAGCUUCCUCAAAGCCUAGCUGCUGCAUCAUACCCUGCAGAUAAAUCCACUCAACAUGGUCAUAUGCCUUCAUCAUGUCGAUCUUCACAGCACAAUAGCCUUGCUUCCCCUUCUUCCUCUUCAUUGAGUGAACGCACUCGUAAGCCGUUAGCACAUUGUCUGUGAUUAGCCUUCCAGGAAUGAAGGCACUCUGCUCUUCUGCAAUAAUUUCAUCUAAGAUCUCCUUCUCCGAUUAGCUAACACUUUAGAACAAAUCUUGUAAAUGACAUUGCAAAGAGAGAUUGGUCUAUACUGGGUAAUAUUUUGAGGAUUCUUUACUUUUGGCACAAGUACAAUUACCGUUUUAUUCACAACCUCCGGCAUAUAGCCACCAUUUUAGAAACCGGAGACCGCCGCCGUCACAUCCUCCUUGAUGAGCUCCCAAUGGUGCUGGUAAAACCCGGCAUUGAAGCCAUCCACCCCUGGUGCUUUGGAAGGACCCAUUGAGAACAUCGCCGCCCUUACUUCCUCCGCUGAAAAAGGACGAAGGAUCCUAGCAUUCAUCUCAUCGUUCACCAUUGCCGGAACAUGGUGCAGUACCAUACCAAUAUUCGUAUCAUCUUGGGCCUGAUAUAAUCCCUCAUAGAAAUUCUGCACCUCCAAAUUGAUCUCUUCCUUCUGCACACACAAAGAACCAUCCGAUGCUUGUAAACACGUGAUUCUAUUCUGACAACGCCUUGCGGAUGCUUGGGCAUGAAAGAAACCCGUAUUGCGAUCACCAGCUUUAAGCCACCCAAUUCUUGAUCUCUGCCUCGCCAUGAUCUCUUGCUUGUGAAGCAAAUCUGAAAGUUGUCUGGCCAGCUCUCGCUCCUUAGCCGAGGGACCACGGAACAGGGAUCCUUUCCUCUCUUUCUCAUAGUCCCUACGAAUUUUCUUGAUCCUGCGUUUGAUGUCACCAAACUUCUUAUCUUUCCAGCUCGUCAAACUUCCUUGCAUUUGCAUUAAGGCCUCAUUUAGCCCCAGCAACCCAUCACUACCUGCUCCCUUCCGCCAAGCUCCUGUCACUUCCUCCUCGUAAGACUCCUCCUCAUGCCAAGCAUCUUCAUACCUAAACUGUUUCGCUGCUGGGCUCUCCUGCCCACUCAGAGAGCGGACCCUUGCCACGAGCAUACAGUGGUCUGAACGGGGAGACCACACAUGGCGUACAAAGGUGCCUGCAUACAUACGCAUCAUCUCGGGAUCGGCGAGGAACCGAUCCAGUCUAACCUUGACAUUAGCUUGGCCAUCUUGCAUAUUAUCCCAUGUAAACGACGUCCCUUGGAACCCCAGAUCAUGGAAACCGCAAAAAUCUAUGACUUCACAGAAGCCUUCCAUCUGCCACUCCGGGCAGUCAUGCAUACCAAAGUACUCAGAACCAUGGAGAAUUUCGUUCAUAUCACCACCACACAGCCACGGUAGGUCACUUUGGGCACACAACCAUCUUAGCAAUUCCCAACUAGCUGAGCGUUCCUUGCGUUUUGCCUUCGCAUAGAAACCCGUAAACCUCCAACACUUGUUAUCAGAUCCAAUAUUAGUAACUGUUGCAUCAAUAUGCCGAUCAGACCUUGUCUCAACUUUAACCUGCACUCCAUUGGACCAAAAAAAGCACCAAACCUCCACUAAGGCCCGCACUAUCAACUGAAAAACAGCCUUCAAACCCCAGUCUCUUUGUUAGAUCGGUCACACGAUUACCCUUGAUCUUUGUCUCACACACAAAAGCAAGGGCGGGCGCUUCUAGCCUCACCAGAUUGUGAAGCCCCCGAACUGUCUCCGGGUUCCCAAGCCCGUGACAGUUCCAAGCUAUUACAUUCAUUGUGUCUUGCGGGGCUGUCCAGCAGCCUCCGCUUCUGAAUUUGCCUCCUCAAGCACAUCCUUCUUCUUCUUCGAAUCCCUGCUAUCAUUAUCCGAUUCUGCCUGUUGUUCCUCACUAGCUCUUUUCUUAUUCAAGGUGUCUUGGUCCAGAAGCAUGAGUGCACCUGUGUUAUUUGUGUUCGUGUGAUUCAUAUCAACUCUUCGGUACACUCCCCUGCCUCUGUUGCCAUCCCUCCCAAAAGUACGCCCUCCACCCCGGGCUAAACCGCCUCUGCCUCUAGCAUUAAACUGAUACACUGCAUUCUGAACUCUGCCAUUUGUGUUUUUUGCCGGCGAAGUAGCCUCAUCUCCUUUCUCAACAUCAUCAUGUUCAACUCCAGGUUCUCCCUUGUCCUUCGGGCCAGUUUGGUGACCUUCAAAGCUAGCAGCAGGGUCACCCCAACCCUUAGCCCGGUACCCCAGGUACCUUAAAGAUUCACGAUACGGUGGUCUUCCAAACUCAUCUCUCCCAGCAGGAGUUGGUCACAUAGCUUCCGCAUGGCCGAGGAUCCCACACGAGAAAUAGAAGUACGGCAGGUUCUCAUACUGUAUGUCAAAGAAUUCUGUAGUCCCUUUUUUUGCCGACUCUAAACGUACCCAUCUCAUCACAGGUUCAUGCACAUUGAGCCAGAUCCUGGCCCUCACACAAUCACCAGCCGCAUAGCCUUUAGCGUCUGCAUCAAGCUGGAUGACUUGACCCACCAUUGCCGCAAUCCGUGCCGGCCAUAGAGGGCACAGCAGGUUGAACGGCAGGUUCACCACCCUUGCCCAAAUCCUUAUCUUGUCAAAACUGAGCUCUGAGGGACGUGGGGUGAUGUUGAAGAUCUCUACCACCACGCAAUGUUUGCCCACAGUCCACGACCCUUUCAAUACAAAUCAGUUAAAUUUAACGGCACACCGUCUAUCGCGUGCUAACUGCAGUAGCACCUCGCGCUCUCUUUCUCUGUUUGCCAGUGGGGCCCACUUGUAGGGGGGUUAAGAAAGAAAGAUAGGAAAUGAAAAACGAGCUCGUGGAGAUUCGAACUUCGGUUCUCUCGCGUUGGUGGUACACGCGUGAUAACCAGCCGACUCAAAGGCACCAUAUACUCGUAUACUAGUUUCUUAUGCAAAAUUCUUAAUUAUAUGGUUUGUAUAACCUUAACCACCGUGGAAAUCCGUUUUGGAGCUCGGUCUCCAGUGAGGCCUCCAAAUUCAAAUUUGAAAAAAACUCAUAUUUUUACAUUUUAAUAAAUUCUAAAAAAAAUACAGAUAUACAUGAAGGCAUAACACACACGUGUCUAAAUUUUCAGUUCAAAAUACAUUGAAAUGGGGGCUGUGCAAAAAAGACAAAUCUUGGGCUGUUUAACACAUGAUACUAUUUAUUCUCUCAGACCAUGAAUUUAUGUUUUUUGUACAGGUCACAACUCAAUAUAUUUCAUCAUGAAUUUUUACACACAUGUGAUCCUUACAUACACACAUAUUUUUUUUUCCAGAAUUUUUUGAAGCAUAAAAGUUUUAAUUUGAUUUUUUCAAAAAUAAAGGCCUCCAUGGAUUGGCCUCCGAAACGCCUUUCUCCUGUUUUUCAGACUACAACAAUUUCAGCAAUGGUUUAUAUAACUGUUUCAGUGAAUUCUUUACAUGCACAGAAGAAUUGGCACGCCGCUGAAGUACACUGCAAAAAGACUCACCAAACUAUAUUUCUUCAUGUUUGACAUCCAGUCGUUGUGGUAAGAGCAUCUACAACUGGACUUGGCAAAUCCAAACCCCCAAACACCCACGGACAUUGACCGGUCACGUCUCAAAUAAUGCAUUCCACAUUUGGAUACCUCAAAUCCAUAUUAUUACAUGCAACACAGUGAUCUUUGAGCGGAGCUCGUCUGUCUCCGUCGUGUCCAUGUCCGGCGGCCGGUUGCACUUCCUAGAGUGUUGGUCCAGUCGCCGACAAAGUAGAGAAGGGCAUGGGACACGAGCCGGCUCACGAGACUCAAGGCGCCACCGCCUCCCAUGCCCAACUCCUCCUCGUCGGAGCCCAGAACCUGAACGGUGUCGGUGGACAUAUGAUGGAUGAUGGAUCCGUCCUGGGACGAGCCGGCGACAUCCACCACGACACGGUUGCGACGCCCAGAUUGCUACACCACGGGGCGUCGGAGAGUGCGGCUCCGCCUCGCCAACAUCCACUGCCACGAGAACUACUGCCACC